GAGGCUGUGCACCUAGAGAGUUGGGAGCCCUAGGCCCUGGAGAAGCGAUCCUGGCGUUCUCUCCAACUUUCCAUCCACGGAGGACUCCUGCCAAUAGCUCCCUGCAGUUCGCUCCGUGGGGAACACAGUCUGGAUCCAGGUGCUACAGGAGUGUGUAAACACUGGGCCUGCUGGACUCUGCCACUGAAGCGGCCCGCUUCCCAGAACCCGCGGCCCCAGUUCCUGUUCAGCUGGGGCUCUUUCUGUAAGGCUUUGCAAGCCCCGCUGCUCCUUCUGUGCUCAGGAAGAAGGAAGCCAAGAUGGAAAGAGGCCCUCCACAGAAGCUCCAAUAUACCCAAAGGAGCCUGGAGGGAGGGGUCAAGAGUCUAUGGUCUGACUCUACCCAAGGGCUGCUCUGAGCUCCCCUCCUCCAUGAGCCCUCCCAAGCAUCCCUGAAGAGAAACCACGCUCUGUCCAGAGAAGAGGGAAAGCAAGCCAUCUGUCCCACAGGCCACCUCAGCUCAUGCUGGUUCUGUCAGCUGUGGUUGUAUGUGCCCGGUUGUGACACAGCCCAGGUCUAUCCAUCCUGUACAUACACCCUGAUUUCCUGGUUCUCAGGCUGGAACUGGUGCUGGGAAGGCCCCAGAGGGAACAAGG